ensembl:lncRNA
AUCCGCGGAGGCGCGGCGGGCGGGGCGGGCCGGGCCGGGCCGGGGCGGGCGCAGCGGGGCCGGGGCCGGGCAGGGCCGGGCAGGGCCGGGCCGGGCCGGGCCCGCCCCUCCGCGCCCCCCGCGGGCCGGGCCGGGCCGCCGCGGCCGCGUGUGGGGGGCGGCGCGGCUGCUGCGCCGCGGCUCGAGCAGCGCCGCGCCCCCGCUGCCGGAGCCGCCGCUCCGCCGCCGGCCCCGCGCUCCGCCGGCAUGAUCUCCUGAGGGGCCCAGCCCGCCCCGGCCCGCUCCAGCAAACUGGAUUGAAUUACAACUGA